rnacentral:rRNA from 1 species
GAUGAACGCUGGCGGCGUGCCUAAUACAUGCAAGUCGAACGAGGUGCUUGAGUAGCAAUACGAGAGUAUCCUAGUGGCGAACGGGUGAAUAACACGUGGAUAAUCUGCCCUCUGGAGGGGAAUAGCCAUCCGAAAGGAUGAAUAAUACCGCGUAAGUCACAGAAAUCUUUGGGUUUUUGUGGGAAAGGAGGCCCUUAAAAGCUUCCGCCAGAGGAUGAGUCCGCGUCCCAUCAGCUAGUUGGUGAGGUAAUGGCUCACCAAGGCAAAGACGGGUAGCUGGUCUGAGAGGAUGGUCAGCCACACUGGGACUGAGACACUGCCCAGACUCCUACGGGAGGCUGCAGUCGAGAAUAUUAGCAAUGGGCGAAAGCCUGACUAUGCGACGCCGCGUGAGGGAUGAAGGUUUUCGGAUCGUAAACCUCUUUUGUCAGGGGAGAAAAGCUGCAUCUAACAGAUGCAGAACUGACGGUACCUGACGAAU